rnacentral:rRNA from 1 species
AACGAACGCUGGCGGCGUGCCUAACACAUGCAAGUCGGAUGCGAGUGCGUCUUUCGGGAGGCAAGUAGCAUGGCAGACGGGUGAGGAGCACGUAUCUGACCGGACACAUCAUGGGGGAUACCCUUGCGAAAGUGGGGAUAAUACCGCAUACGCUCCUGUUGGUAGGACAAGAGGAGGAAAGCUGGCCUCUGGGAGCAAGCUGGCGUGGUGUGAGGGGGGAUGCGUCCUAUUAGCUAGUUGGUAGGGUAAGGGCCUACCAAGGCGACGAUGGGUAGCUGGUCUGAGAGGAUGAUCAGCCACACUGGGACUGAGACACGGCCCAGACUCCUACGGGGAGGCAG